UACGUAGGUGGCAAGCGAUACUCGGAAUCACUAGGCGUAAAGCGCAGGUAGGCGGUUCGGUAAGUCUUUUGUGAAAGCUCCCGGCUCAACUGGGAGAGGCCAAGGGAAACUACCGGACUAGAGUGUGGUAGGGGAUACUGGAAUUCCUGGUGUAGCGGUGAAAUGCGUAGAUAUCAGGAGGAAUACCUAUGGCGAAAGCAGGUAUCUGGGCCAUCGCUGACGCUGAGCUGCGAAAGCUAGGGGAGCAAACAGG
rnacentral:rRNA from 1 species